UACGGUCAAAUCACGUUGCUGAAAACACCGGUUCUCGUUCGAUCACCGAAGUUAAGCAUCGUAGAGCCAGGUCAGUACUUAGAUGGGGGACCGCUUGGGAACACCUGGUACUGUAAG